UACAGAGGGGGCAAGCGUUGUUCGGAAUUACUGGGCGUAAAGGGCGCGUAGGCGGCCGCCUAAGUCAGACGUGAAAUCCCUCGGCUCAACCGGGGAACUGCGCUUCAUACUGCAUGGCUUGAGGGAGACAGGGGUAAGCGGAACUGAUGGUGGAGCGGUGAAAUGCGUUGAUAUCAUCAGGAACACCGGUGGCGAAAGCGGCUUACUGGGUCUCUUCUGACGCUGAGGUACGAAAGCUAGGGGAGCGAACGGG
rnacentral:rRNA from 1 species